rnacentral:rRNA from 1 species
AGUGAACGCUGGCGGUAGGCCUAACACAUGCAAGUCGAACGGCAGCACAGGAGAGCUUGCUCUCUGGGUGGCGAGUGGCGGACGGGUGAGGAAUACAUCGGAAUCUACUUUUUCGUGGGGGAUAACGUAGGGAAACUUACGCUAAUACCGCAUACGACCUACGGGUGAAAGCAGGGGAUCUUCGGACCUUGCGCGAUUGAAUGAGCCGAUGUCGGAUUAGCUAGUUGGCGGGGUAAAGGCCCACCAAGGCGACGAUCCGUAGCUGGUCUGGAAGGAUGAUCAGCCACACUGGAACUGAGACACGGACCGGACUCCUACGGGAGGCAGCAGGGGGGAAUAUUGGACAAUGGGCGCAAGCCUGAUCCAGCCAUACCGCGUGGGUGAAGAAGGCCUUCGGGUUGUAAAGCCCUUUUGUUGGGAAAGAAAUCCAGCUGGUUAAUACCCGGUUGGGAUGACGGUACCCAAAGAAUAAGCACCGGCUAACUUCGUGCCAGCCGCCGCCGUAA